rnacentral:lncRNA from 1 species
AACGAGCUGCCAGGUCGAGGUGUGAAGCAGGUCCUGCCUCUCCCUGCUUUGAGAGCAGCUGGGCUCUUUCUGUGAAAUUUUAACCUGACAUUUCAAUCUAAGUAAAUCACACCAGGAAAAAAGAAUGCACUAAUUGGAGAGCAGUGUGCUGUUUAUAAACUGAAGGACCCAGCACACUCUUACCAGCAUGCCGAAUAUCUGGAGCUGGAGGAAUUAAUUCUAAUGCAAAUGAGGGUAGGGUUUCCCUGCAAGAGAAGUCCUUGCUGAAUCUGCUGAGACUGAUAACCUGGUUGCUAUAUGUCCAGCUAGGAAUGUGGCAGAGAUAAGCAAAAUUAAAAAAAAAAAUUAAAAAAACCCCAAACCUGUUAGCUGCCUAGCUGUUCUUCUCAAUGCAUUUGGACUCUAAUUACCAGGAUGUGAAUGCUCUGCAGUUCAGCCAGCACAGUCAUCUUUAGAAGUAUGCCAAUGUUGCCUGCAUUUCACUUCAGAUAUCAGAAUGAGCAUGAAGAAUUCUUUUUCAGGAGAAGAAACCACAAGCAAAACUACUUGUCCCAGGUAGAUAGAUCCACUACCUCCAGCAUGCAUGGUCCAGGAUCAGGAGAGGAUCUGCCCAGCAAGUUUUCCAGUACAGAGUCCACACUGGUUUCAUAUGUGAUGAGGAGACAAGCAAACAGUGGAGAACAGCAGUAGAUACGACGCCGAUAAGCAAGAAAGAAAAAUUAAGGACAAAAAGACGGAGCUGUUUCUAAAAAAUCAGGUAAGGGAUUCAGGUGAUUCUCUAUAAAGUGUAACAUGUACAGUACAAAGAAUUGUGCCAAAUAGUUUAUCCUCCCUUCCUAGUAUUU